CCCUUAGAUGUCCUGGGCCGCACGCGCGCUACACUGAGUGUCUGAGAUACGAGUCUGCCUGGUCCGGCAAGGUCUAGGUAAUCGCUAAAAGACACAUCAUGCUUGGGAUAGAUUAUUGCAAAUAUUAAUCUUGAACGAGGAAUUCCUAGUAAGCGCAAGUCAACAGCUUGCGUUGAUUACGUCCCUGCCCUUUGUACACACCGCCCGUCGCUACUACUGAUUGGAUGAUUAAGCGAGGUUCUCGAACUGCUAGCGACUUAGCUUCGGUGAGGUCGCAGUGUGGGAAGUGAACCUAGCUUUGGUGUCUAGAGGAAGUAAAAGUCGUAACA
rnacentral:rRNA from 1 species